rnacentral:rRNA from 1 species
CGCUUUCUUUGCUGGCGACCGGCGCACGGGUGAGUAACACGUAUCCAACCUGCCCUUUACUCGGGGAUAGCCUUUCGAAAGAAAGAUUAAUACCCGAUAGCAUAAUGAUUCCGCAUGGUUUCAUUAUUAAAGGAUUCCGGUAAAGGAUGGGGAUGCGUUCCAUUAGGUUGUUGGUGAGGUAACGGCCCACCAAGCCUUCGAUGGAUAGGGGUUCUGAGAGGAAGGUCCCCCACAUUGGAACUGAGACACGGUCCAA